CUUAUUUCUGCCCUCUCCAUGGACGACCUAGAAGAACAGUAGCUCACUACAGUUCUCAUGUGAUAACUGAAUGUGAACUAAUAGCGAGCUGACAAUACACUUUCAUGCUUUAUGAAAAGGAGUAUAUGAGGGAGCUGACAAGAGUAAGGAGACCUGGAAAUGUUCCCUGGUCACUUCAGCCUUGUCACUGUCACUUCUUCAGACAGCAAGCAUCUGUGGGGAAGAGCGAGCUGGAGGAACCUGCUCUAGGGAAUCUGCACCAUGUCUGCAUACAGGCUGGGCAAGACUUGCAAGACACAAGUAGACCAUUUGUCUUUGGUCCCAAAAGAUCGUGAAUGCCUGAAAUGG
rnacentral:lncRNA from 1 species